UACAGAGACCCCGAGCAUUAUCCGGAAUUACUGGGCGUAAAGCGCGAGCAGCCGGUCGCAUUAGUCUGAUGUAAAACCGUGGGGCCCAACUCCACGUCUGCGUCGGAAACGGUGCGACUCGAGCGGAUGAGAGGGAGGCGGAAUGUAUGGUGUAGGGGUAAUAUCCACUGAUAUCAUACAGAACACCAAAAGCGAAGGCAGCCUCCUAGCGUCUUGCUGACGGUCAAUCGCGAAAGCGUGGGGAU
rnacentral:rRNA from 1 species